UACGGAGGAUCCAAGCGUUAUCCGGAAUUACUGGGCGUAAAGAGUUGCGUAGGUGGCAUAGUAAGCAAGUAGUGAAAUCCUGGGGCUCAACCCCUUCAACAUUAUUUGAACUGCUAAGCUAGAGGACGAGAGAGGUUACUGGAAUUUCUAGUGUAGGAGUGAAAUCCGCAGAUAUUAGAAGGAACACCGAUGGCGUAGGCAGGUAACUGGCUCGUUCCUGACACUAAGGCACGAAAGCGUGGGGAGCAAACGGG
rnacentral:rRNA from 1 species